AUGUUCUUAGGAAGUAAAUACCUUUUGAAUCAGAAAAAGUGUUGGGAAACAAAAUACUUUAUGUAACUAAGUGGGCCCUUUAGAAGAGGGGAGAUCAUUUUUUGUACUUUGUUUUUUAAUGUUUACUUCAGAGAGCUAGGAACGUAAAUGCUUUCAGGUAGAAAGCCUUUAUUUUUGGGAACUGAACAAGAAAUGAUGCAUCUGUGUUGGGAAACCUUUUGCAGGUUGAUGCGGAGCAAAAUACAUAGUAAUUCUUUGCAUCCAGACCAUUCAGAGGAAGAGAUGCUCCAUUCUCACCUUUUUGCAAGACUGACCCCUGAGAGACAGAACAUGAGAGACUCCUAACUCUGGGAAAUGAACAG